rnacentral:lncRNA from 1 species
GUUCCGGCGGCCGGACUUCCCACCGUGUCACCCGCCGCGGUAUCGGUGACCCAGCCCAGAGGAACGCCCACCGCGGAGGGAAGCUGCUCGGCCGACCCAUCGCCGACCGGGGGCUGAGCUGUCCCUCUAGGGCCGCUUGUCCCUCAUGCCCGGCUCAGGGGGCACCUGACGUGCACAGACGAGGAGCUGCCCGAGCGCCGGACGUCAUCCUGAGCCGCGUCACAGCUUAAACAACCAGGGGCUCCGUGUGACCAACUCCAGGCGUGGCCGUAGGGGGUCACCCCUAUGGACCCCACCGGGCCCAGGGGGACCCUCCGCCCUCCUCGUCACCCAAGAUGGUGCUAGCCAUCCACUUCCGUCCACGUCUGGAGGGGAAGGGACCGCGGGCUUUAGCAGCAUAGCCAGAAGUAGUACGCAUCAUUUCCUCCCGCAUCCCAUUGGCCAGCCCUUGGUCAUGUGACCACUCCUUGCUGCAAGGGAGGCUGGGAAUUGCAGUCCUUAUUCUGGAAGAGCAGAUGUCCGGCUGUGCACCGUGGGCUCUGUUGCUACAGCAGGAGGAAGACGAAUGGACUUUGGGGGCAGAGUCACUGCCCAAGGCUGGUCCAGGGCUUGUUUCCAAGCCUUGAGGCCACUUCCAUUUAUAGCUAAAUAAUUCAAGAUGAAUGAAGGGAAUAUGAGAGAGUGACUUGAGCUGGUUCAGGUGAUCACGGACCAAGUUAGGAAGGGAAACAGUUGGUUUCAGACAAGCUGGAAUUUUAGGUCCAUGAGAUCCACACCUAACCUAGUCGGAUGAUACACAUUUAAAAUUUGAAAACAAAAAGACAAGCCAGUUCCAACUAGAAGGGAGAUGGAAAUUGCUUGUCAAAACAUGUAUGCCACGGCAGCCAGGAGAGCCCACCAGGAAUGCCUGAUGACAUUUUAAGUAGCUUUUGUGCUGCUGCACUCUCUCUAACUGUCACGGCUUUUAUUAUCUGUCGCUAUGACAGCCACUUAAUGCAUUUCAUGAUGGCCAUGUGUCAACUGUCCUCCCUUGGCAAUGUCACUCCAAACACAUUGUUCUUCAAACAACCCUGCCCUUCCGUGCUCUCUGAUACCGCCUGGGGAAGCCCACCAUGGGGCAGACUGGCCACUCUGUGCAUCUAUCCCUGGAGAUGUAAUCGGCCAGACGCCCCAUCUCAACGUGCACACAGACCCAGACUCCACGAGGACAAGUGCCCUCUGGAGGGAGACUUGGAAUGCAUAGCUAGUCUGACUCGUCCUGCCGAGACAUUCAAAAAUGAGCCUUCGCCAUGUCUGCACACACAGAAGUCAGUGCUGACUACUGUGGGAGGACCAAGCUUUCUCUCUCUAUUUAUGAGCGAUUUUUCUGCACAACAGCCUCAAACUUGCCUUUCACUUCUAGGAGCAAUUGUUCACUGAGUCUCAGAUAAAGACAGAAUUGUCUCAAAGAUACAGUCUGGGGAUACAGUAACGUGUUUCCAGCACUCAGACAUCUGCUUCUUCUUUCUGAAAGAGGAUCAGCAUUUGUGCAGCCAGACACCUAAGUCUGUCCUGGAGAGGAAGCCCCUGAAAGGGCCCCAGGAGGCACAGACACACACAGAGCCCUGGGCCCACAUCUGGGGUGACGAUCAGAAGAAAGGUGAGAGGACAUCAGAGAAGCAGUGGUGACAAGCCAACUGACACGUGGACCCUGACGAGUGCUCAGUGAUCUCUAUAUGCUUCCUCAUCAGACUCUCCUUCAAGGUGAAGGUUCCUAAGCAGAGACUGUCAACCAAAUGUUGACAUGAAUGCUGUGACCAGAGGAAUCCUUUGUCUCUCCAUAGGGGAUGCUAGAGCUUGCAGUACCGUCUCCACGAAGGCAUGCCUGUAGACCCGAACCUUAUGAAGGGAAUGCAGGAGCACAUUCAGGAAGGGUCACUCCCCAGCUGAUGGCCGUGUGAGGAACCUGCUCUCCAGGGGUCAGCUGCUCUCCUGGACUGCGUGCCCUGGUGCUCCAGCCCAGCAUAGCACAGUUGCCCAUGUCCUGUUUAAAGAACUCUGGGGCUCUGCAAGGACAGCCAGGUCUCCAUCAUGUGGCCUUCUGCAGGUCAGUCAGUCAGGCAUGGGAACUGCAGAGUCCACUCCCUCCCGCUGUCCAGGCCAGGCCCUCAGGUGUCCCAAACAGGAGUGCCCACAUCCCAUCCUGGGAACCUUCCCUUCCCAGGGAGAGGCUCCAGCUUGACUGGGAGGCACCUUCAGAAAGUCCUGGGGGAUAUGGAGAAGCAGCAGCCAUCUGAUCCCAAGGCCUUGUCCAUGGAAUCCAGGGAGGCUGGAGUGGGGGAUGCUCAGCACAACCUCAGCCCAUUGCCAUCAUCUUCUUGUCCAUGCCCAAGCCAUGGCCAUUCUGUUCUGAUCACAAGGAUGGAGCACCCACUCCCAGGACGACAUCAUCGUGACAAGACUAAGGUUAAGUGAUCGCUUACAAGGUGCCAGGACAGUCCCUGCCUGUUGUUCUCUGAUGGAGACACAGCACCUGCUGGAUCACAGGACGAGGUGCCACCUGUGGGCUGUAGACGAAGACCACCCACUGCAGUAGGACCUGGGACGUGCGGAUCCAGGAGGUGACAUGACACGUGCGGAUCCAGGGGGUGACGAGACACAUG